rnacentral:rRNA from 1 species
UACGUAGGGGGCAAGCGUUGUCCGGAAUCAUUGGGCGUAAAGCGCGCGUAGGCGGCCCGAUAAGUCUGCUGUGAAAGUCCAGGGCUCAACCCUGGAAUGCCGGUGGAUACUGUCGGGCUAGAGUUCGGAAGAGGCAAGUGGAAUUCCUGGUGUAGCGGUGGAAUGCGCAGAUAUCAGGAGGAACACCGGUGGCGAAGGCGCCACUCUGGGCCGAAACUGACGCUGAGGAGCGAAAGCGUGGGUAGCAAACAGG